rnacentral:rRNA from 1 species
ACUCCUACGGGAGGCAGCAGUGGGGAAUAUUGCACAAUGGGCGCAAGCCUGAUGCAGCCAUGCCGCGUGUAUGAAGAAGGCCUUCGGGUUGUAAAGUACUUUCAGCGGGGAGGAAGGCAAUACGGUUAAUAACCGUGUUGAUUGACGUUACCCGCAGAAGAAGCACCGGCUAACUCCGUGCCAGCAGCCGCGGUAAUACGGAGGGUGCAAGCGUUAAUCGGAAUUACUGGGCGUAAAGCGCACGCAGGCGGUCUGUCAAGUCGGAUGUGAAAUCCCCGGGCUCAACCUGGGAACUGCAUUCGAAACUGGCAGGCUUGAGUCUUGUAGAGGGGGGUAGAAUUCCAGGUGUAGCGGUGAAAUGCGUGGAGAUCUGGAGGAAUACCGGUGGCGAAGGCGGCCCCCUGGACAAAGACUGACGCUCAGGUGCGAAAGCGUGGGGAGCAAACAGGAUUAGAUACCCUUGUAGUCCCAUGAU